GGAUGUGAAAUUGACUCUAGUAGGGAGUCCGUGUCCACGCCGCGACUCCCUAAUGGAGUCAGGUUGACUUCUAU
rnacentral:pre_miRNA from 1 species